rnacentral:rRNA from 1 species
GACGAACGCUGGCGGCGUGCUUAACACAUGCCAGUCGAACGGAAAGGCCCUGCUUUUGUGGGGUGCUCGAGUGGCGAACGGGUGAGUAACACGUGAGUAACCUGCCCUUGACUUUGGGAUAACUUCAGGAAACUGGGGCUAAUACCGGAUAGGAGCUCCUGCUGCAUGGUGGGGGUUGGAAAGUUUCGGCGGUUGGGGAUGGACUCGCGGCUUAUCAGCUUGUUGGUGGGGUAGUGGCUUACCAAGGCUUUGACGGAUAGCCGGCCUGGGAGGGUGACCGGCCACAAUGGGACUGAGAUACGGCCCAGACUCCUACGGGAGGCAGCAGUGGGGAAUAUUGCACAAUGGGCGGAAGCCUGAUGCAGCAACGCCGCGUGCGGGAUGACGGCCUUCGGGUUGUAAACCGCUUUCGCCUGUGACGAAGCGUGAGUGACGGUAAUGGGUAAAGAAGCACCGGCUAACUACGUG